UGCGUAGGCGGCUUUGCAAGUCAGAUGUGAAAUCUAUGGGCUCAACCCAUAAACUGCAUUUGAAACUGUAGAGCUUGAGUGAAGUAGAGGCAGGCGGAAUUCCCCGUGUAGCGGUGAAAUGCGUAGAGAUGCGGAAGAACACCGGUGGCGAAGGCGGUCUACUGGCCUCUAACUGACACUCAGAGCGAAAGCAUGGGUAGCGAACG
rnacentral:rRNA from 1 species